rnacentral:rRNA from 1 species
GGAGGCGAACCGGGGAAACUGAAACAUCUCAGUACCCCGAGGAAAAGAAAUCAACCGAGAUUCCCCCAGUAGCGGCGAGCGAACAGGGAGCAGCCCAGAGUCAGCAUCAAUAUUUACCGCAGGAGAAGGGUCUGGAAAGGCCGGCAAUAAAGGGUGAUAGCCCCGUAUCUGAAGCGGUAAGUGUUGUGAACUCGAAGAGUAAGGCGGGACACGUGUUAUCCUGUCUGAAUAUGGGGGGACCAUCCUCCAAGGCUAAAUACUCCUGACUGACCGAUAGUGAACCAGUACCGUGAGGGAAAGGCGAAAAGAACCCCGGCGAGGGGAGUGAAAUAGAACCUGAAACCGUGUACGUACAAGCAGUGGGAGCACCCGAAAAGGUGUGACUGCGUACCUUUUGUAUAAUGGGUCAGCGACUUAUAUUCUGUAGCAAGGUUAACCGCAUAGGGGAGCCGUAGGGAAACCGAGUCUUAACUGGGCGUUAAGUUGCAGGGUAUAGACCCGAAACCCGGUGAUCUAGCCAUGGGCAGGUUGAAA